AGUUUGAUCCUGGCUCAGGAUGAACGCUAGCUACAGGCUUAACACAUGCAAGUCGAGGGGCAGCAUCAUCAAAGCUUGCUUUGAUGGAUGGCGACCGGCGCACGGGUGAGUAACACGUAUCCAACCUGCCGACAACACUGGGAUAGCCUUUCGAAAGAAAGAUUAAUACCGGAUGGCAUAAUUAUUCCGCAUGGGAUAAUUAUUAAAGAAUUUCGGUUGUCGAUGGGGAUGCGUUCCAUUAGGCAGUUGGCGGGGUAACGGCCCACCAAACCAACGAUGGAUAGGGGUUCUGAGAGGAAGGUCCCCCACAUUGGAACUGAGACACGGUCCAAACUCCUACGGGAGGCAGCAGUGAGGAAUAUUGGUCAAUGGACGAGAGUCUGAACCAGCCAAGUAGCGUGAAGGAUGACUGCCCUAUGGGUUGUAAACUUCUUUUAUACGGGAAUAAAGUGAGCCACGUGUGGCUUUUUGUAUGUACCGUAUGAAUAAGGAUCGGCUAACUCCGUGCCAGCAGCCGCGGUAAUACGGAGGAUCCGAGCGUUAUCCGGAUUUAUUGGGUUUAAAGGGAGCGUAGGCGGGUUGUUAAGUCAGUUGUGAAAGUUUGCGGCUCAACCGUAAAAUUGCAGUUGAUACUGGCGACCUUGAGUGCAACAGAGGUAGGCGGAAUUCGUGGUGUAGCGGUGAAAUGCUUAGAUAUCACGAAGAACUCCGAUUGCGAAGGCAGCUUACUGGAUUGUAACUGACGCUGAUGCUCGAAAGUGUGGGUAUCAAACAGGAUUAGAUACCCUGGUAGUCCACACAGUAAACGAUGAAUACUCGCUGUUGGCGAUAUACGGUCAGCGGCCAAGCGAAAGCAUUAAGUAUUCCACCUGGGGAGUACGCCGGCAACGGUGAAACUCAAAGGAAUUGACGGGGGCCCGCACAAGCGGAGGAACAUGUGGUUUAAUUCGAUGAUACGCGAGGAACCUUACCCGGGCUUAAAUUGCAACUGACUGAACCGGAAACGGUUCUUUCUUCGGACAGUUGUGAAGGUGCUGCAUGGUUGUCGUCAGCUCGUGCCGUGAGGUGUCGGCUUAAGUGCCAUAACGAGCGCAACCCUUACGGGUAGUUACCAUCAGGUUAUGCUGGGGACUCUACCCGGACUGCCGUCGUAAGAUGUGAGGAAGGUGGA
rnacentral:rRNA from 1 species